CGUUACUCCUUGUACAUCCAGAGGGCAAUGCAAGGACAUGGAGGUGGCAGGGGACCAUGUAUUAAUUUAUUAAUUAGGACUCUUUCACAACAGAAUGGGCUACCUAGCGAGAUGUACCCCUUCAUGGAGAGUAUUCAUGGAGAAGCUGGAAGAUCAUUGUUCUGCCUGGAUUAGAAGGAUCAAAUAGACCAAUGGUUCCCAAGUACCUGUCCAGCUUCUCUCGGCAUGGUUGCAAAAGCGGAGAGAGGGGAAAUCUUCAUUCCUUUCUCAUUCAAAGAUUAAUUCCAGUAAUACAUAUAAUAUACUAUGUCCUAUAAUUUUUUGUAAUAAUGUCAAUUUUUAACUUUUGUGAGACAAGUUAUGCAAUAAGCAUAGCCAAAAAGGAUGCACAAAAUAAAGUGCAAUAGCUACAGGAAAACGGGAAAAUUAUGCCCAUUCCAUUUUCCAUUAUUGCAGCAAUCUGUUGAAAAGCAGACUCUUCAAUGUGCAGAGGGUCAGGAUUUUGUCAGGAAAGAACUACACAGCUGCUCCCAAUCUGGCUCCAAGCAAGGACCACCUGAGAGCUGACUCCGCUGAGCGAGGCCCCGGCUUCCUUUAAUUGACUCUCUUCCGCCCCGUUCAUUAACAUAUGUCACUCUACAAGACCGAGAAGGAAAGCACUCCUUUUUUAAAAGUGCCUCUACACUCAGAAGGAUAACCCUUAGAGUCUGGCCUGGAUAACACCUUUUACGUGGCAGUGCGCCGCAAUAUGGCGUGCUAGCACCUCUUCAUCUGGAGCUCCAUGGCAUAUGGCUACACGCAAAAGAAAAAAAGAAAAAGAAAAAAGAUAUUCCCAGAUUAACUGGCUCAUCGGGUAGGAGUGACACAUGCAGCAAGGUGAGAAGGGUGCAGGGGAUCAGCAUUCAGGAUGUGUGAAAGAGGCAUUUUUCCAUUUCUCUAACAGUGAGAGACCCUCAUCAAAAAAAAAAAAUGAGAAGUUCCAGGUCUUGGACAAAUUCACAAAGGCUACAGUGAUUGAGUGGGUGAUGCUGGUGUGUCCUGUUGUCCUAAGAACAGGAGAAGCUGAGGUCACAACUUGGCCUCUGAGCUCAUGCUGAAUCUGAGAGUUUAAGAACCAGCUUUCAGAUCAAUUUCUAAAUGGGCAAAUUUAAUGUAUUGCCAUUUAGAGCCAAGAAACAAAUUCCUUUUAUAGAAUGCAUUUGUGUUCCAGGGAGAUGCCGUGCGUGUCGGCUUCAAAUUACUGACUGGCUUUUGCUUCCCAAGAAUUCAACAUGCCAUUUUAAGCUUAUCUCUGUCUUUUUAAAGACAAAUUUUAAAUUUAUUUUAAAAAGUAAAUGGUUAGUGCUGAUGGUUGCACAACAGUAUGAAUGUACUUAGCACCACUGAACUAUAUACACUUUAAAAAUGUACUUAACACCACUGAACUAUAUACACUAUAUAUGGCUAGACAUGGGCUGGGCGCAGUGACUCACGCCUGUAAUCCCAGCACUUUGGGUGGCCAAAGCAGG
rnacentral:lncRNA from 10 species